rnacentral:misc_RNA from 1 species
GAUGAAGAACGUAGCGAAAUGCGAUACGUAAUGUGAAUUGCAGAAUUCAGUGAAUCAUCGAAUCUUUGAACGCAUAUUGCGCUCUCUGGUAUUCCGGAGAGCAUGCUUGUUUGAGUAUCAGUAAACACCUCAACUUACAUAUCUUUUUUGAAAUGGGAGUUGGACUUGAGUGAUCCCAACGCUUUUCCUCACCGAAAAGUGGCGGGUUACUUGAAAUGCAGGUGCAGCUGGACUUUUCUCUGAGCUAUAAGCAUAUCUAUUUAGUCUGCCUAAAAAACAGAUUAUUACCUUUGCUGCAGCUAACAUAAAGGAGAUUAGUUCUUGUGCUGACUGAUGCAGGAUUCACAAAGACAGGCUUCGGCCGACUUUGUAAACUCGAUCUCAAAUCAAGUAAAACUACCCGCUGAACUUAAGCAUAUCAAUAAGCGGAGGA